ACCAACAUUGGUUGCUGUAGGGCCAUCAGGCAAGACUGUUACAACUGACGCCAGAAGUUUGAUCAUGUGUCAUGGUGCUAAGGCUUUUCCAUUCACCGAGGAGCGUAUGGAGGAGAUUGAAGCAGAAACUGCAGAAAUGGCAAAGGGGUGGCCUGAGAAAAUUAUGCACAAACUUCACGAGCAUGAACUUCUGCUUUCUAAGCGUUCUGCUUACAAUUGUGAUGUAUGCGAGGAGCUGGGACAGAUAUGGUCAUUCUAUUGUGAAGAAUGUGACUUUGAUAUGCACCCAAAAUGUGCUCUAGAAGAGGAAAAG
rnacentral:misc_RNA from 1 species